GACAGAGGGUGCAAACGUUUGUUCGGAAUUACUGGGCGUAAAGCGUGUGUAGGCGGCCAUGUAAGUCGGAUGUGAAAGCCCCGGGCUUAACCCGGGAAGUGCAUUCGAUACUGCGUGGCUUGAGUAUCGGAGAGGUUGGUGGAAUUCUCGGUGUAGAGGUGAAAUUCGUAGAUAUCGAGAGGGACACCGGUGGCGAAGGCGGCCAACUGGACGAAUACUGACGCUGAGACACGAAAGCGUGGGGAGCAAACAGG
rnacentral:rRNA from 1 species